AUAGCCCGAGUUGUAGAGACUGAUCGGGCCACAUUGGGGACUGAGACACGGGCCCAAACUCCUACGGGAGGCAGCAGUAGGGAAUCUUCCACAAUGGACGAAAAGUCUGAUGGAGCAAACGCCGCGUGAGUGAAGAAGGUUUUCGGAUCGUAAAGCUCUGUUGUUGGUGAAGAAGGAUAGAGGUAGUAACUGGCCCUUUAUUUGACGGUAAUCAACCAGAAAGUCACGGGCUAACUACGUGCCAGCAGCCGCGGUAAAU
rnacentral:rRNA from 1 species